GAGGUAGCUGGUCAAUUUUUGCGUAUUGCAAAUUCAUUCUCCAUCUUUAAGUACACUGGAAAGUGAAGCAUUGCAUAUACUGAGCAUGUAAGGACAGUUCGAGAAUAGAGAAUGCGACUAAAUUUGGUCCAUGGUUCCAUCUGAGAAAGUUGAAAUUGGAUAACCAAAAUAUCACAAAACUUAGGUGAGGGGCUUCCUGUAACACAUCAGGCAUCAGCUGCUUUCCACAAAUGAGAUGACAGGCCAUCAGAGAUGCCAUUAACAUUGGCCUAGAUUCUGUCCAUGUUGUCCAAGAGUGGAAUUUAGUUUCGUUUGUUGAAUGAGGCAUGAGUAAGCUGGAUCAGAAAAUGCUGGUUUUGUUUGUAUGGAAAGUUUGAGCAACAAGGCUGUUAUCACUGCUGCCGAAGGGCGUUUCACAUUCCUAAGGUUUGAGUUAUGUUUAGCAUCUUUUUGAAAAGGGGGUGCAUAUAUAUUCAUCCAUCUGCUUUAAGAUCUAUGCUAUAUGGAUCGGUAACACUAUUGUGGAAGGGGAAGAUAUCGGUUGGAGAUUCAUCUAUUUUUUCAGUCACACAGCCAACAAUGGCUAGCCAGGC
rnacentral:misc_RNA from 1 species